AGGUUACUGCUAUCGGUGUUCGCCUAAGCCAUGCGAGUCAUAUGUUCUUCGUGAACAUGGCGUACUGCUCAGUAACACGUGGAUAACCUGCCCUUGGGUCCGGCAUAACCCCGGGAAACUGGGAAUAAUUCCGGAUAACGCACAUAUGCUGGAAUGCUUUAUGCGUCAAAUGGAUUCGUCCGCCCAAGGAUGGGUCUGCGGCCUAUCAGGUAGUAGUGGGUGUAAUGUACCUACUAGCCUACGACGGGUACGGGUUGUGAGAGCAAGAGCCCGGAGAUGGAUUCUGAGACAUGAAUCCAGGCCCUACGGGGCGCAGCAGGCGCGAAAACUUUACAAUGCGGGAAACCGUGAUAAGGGGACACCGAGUGCCAGCAUCAUAUGCUGGCUGUCCGGGUGUGUAAAAUACACCUGUUAGCAAGGGCCGGGCAAGACCGGUGCCAGCCGCCGCGGUAACACCGGCGGCCCGAGUGGUGAUCGUAAUUAUUGGGUCUAAAGGGUCCGUAGCCGGUUUGGUCAGUCCUCCGGGAAAUCUGACGGCUUAACCGUUAGGCUUUCGGGGGAUACUGCCAGACUUGGAACCGGGAGAGGUAAGAGGUACUACAGGGGUAGGAGUGAAAUCUUGUAAUCCCUGUGGGACCACCUGUGGCGAAGGCGUCUUACCAGAACGGGUUCGACGGUGAGGGACGAAAGCUGGGGGCACGAACCGGAUUAGAUACCCGGGUAGUCCCAGCCGUAAACGAUGCUCGCUAGGUGUCAGGCAUGGCGCGACCGUGUCUGGUGCCGCAGGGAAGCCGUGAAGCGAGCCACCUGGGAAGUACGGCCGCAAGGCUGAAACUUAA
rnacentral:rRNA from 1 species